AUUGAACGCUGGCGGCAGGCCUAACACAUGCAAGUCGAACGGUAACAGGAAACAGCUUGCUGUUUCGCUGACGAGUGGCGGACGGGUGAGUAAUGUCUGGGAAACUGCCUGAUGGAGGGGGAUAACUACUGGAAACGGUAGCUAAUACCGCAUAACGUCGCAAGACCAAAGAGGGGGACCCUCGGGCCUCUUGCCCUCGGAUGUGCCCAGAUGGGAUUAGCUGGUUGGUGGGGUAACGGCCCACCAAGGCGACGAUCCCUAGCUGGUCUGAGAGGAUGACCAGCCACACUGGAACUGAGACACGGUCCAGACUCCUACGGGAGGCAGCAGUGGGGAAUAUUGCACAAUGGGCGCAAGCCUGAUGCAGCCAUGCCGCGUGUAUGAAGAAGGCCUUCGGGUUGUAAAGUACUUUCAGCGGGGAGGAAGGGAGUAAAGUUAAUACCUUUGCUCAUUGACGUUACCCGCAGAAGAAGCACCGGCUAACUCCGUG
rnacentral:rRNA from 1 species